GACAGAGGGUGCGAACGUUGUUCGGAAUUACUGGGCGUAAAGCGCGUGUAGGCGGCAGCGCAGGUCGGGCGUGAAAUCCCACGGCUCAACCGUGGAAGUGCACUCGAAACUGCGCAGCUAGAGUCCUGGAGAGGAAGGUGGAAUGCUUGGUGUAGAGGUGAAAUGCGUAGAUAUUGGGAAGAACACCUGAGGCGAAGGCGGGUUGCUGGGCCGACACUGACGCUGAGGCGCGAAAGCCAGGGGAGCAAACGGG
rnacentral:rRNA from 1 species